rnacentral:rRNA from 1 species
CGGGAAUUUUGGGCAAUGGGCGAAAGCCUGACCCAGCAACGCCGCGUGAGGGAUGAAGUAUUUCGGUAUGUAAACCUCGAAAGAAUGGGAAGAAUAAAUGACGGUACCAUUUAUAAGCUCCGGCUAACUACGUGCCAGCAGCCGCGGUAAUACGUAGGGAGCAAGCGUUGUUCGGAUUUACUGGGCGUAAAGGGCGCGUAGGCGGCGCGGUAAGUCACUUGUGAAAUCUCUGAGCUUAACUCAGAACGGCCAAGUGAUACUGCUGUGCUAGAGUGCGGAAGAGGCAACCGGAAUUCUUGGUGUAGCGGUGAAAUGCGUAGAUAUCAAGAGGAACACCUGAGGCGAAGGCGGGUUGCUGGGCCGACACUGACGCUGAUGCGCGAAAGCCAGGGGAG